rnacentral:misc_RNA from 1 species
GAUGAAGAACGUAGCGAAAUGCGAUAAGUAAUGUGAAUUGCAGAAUUCAGUGAAUCAUCGAAUCUUUGAACGCACAUUGCGCCCGCCAGCAUUCUGGCGGGCAUGCCUGUUCGAGCGUCAUUUCAACCCUCGAGCCCCCCCGGGGGCCUCGGUGUUGGGGGACGGCACACCAGCCGCCCCCGAAGUGCAGUGGCGACCCCGCCGCAGCCUCCCCUGCGUAGUAGCACACACCUCGCACCGGAGCGCGGAGGCGGUCACGCCGUAAAACGCCCAACUUUCUUAGAGUUGACCUCGGAUCAGGUAGGAAUACCCGCUGAACUUAAGCAUAUCAAUAAGCGGAGGA